CUUUUCCCCAAAAAUAACUUGCAUCUCUUUAAAUUCAAUCGCCAUCCCUAUUCUUCUCCGCCAUUAACGAUUUCCCAGAGAGUUAGGAACGAGGUUUAUAUCUUCAAUUUUUGAGUGAAAUUUGUUGAAUCCGAUUUUCAUUAUUUCACACUGUUUGAAAAAUGGAAAUAGGAAACUCAAAUUACCAGAUUCCUUGGUUGAGCACAUCCUAUCUUUUACUGAUACGAAAUCUGCUGUUCAGACUUCCACGUUAUGAAUCUCUCUUAAAAGUCCCAUCACACGUCGGGCCCAAAUUUCUGUCACUUGACUACUAAUGCGUCAGCCAUAAUGUUAGGACGGACAGAGAUUUUGGAUCCCUAGCUGCAUACAUAGAUGGAUUGCCACUGCUGUCAGCCAUAAUGUUCAAGAGAUGUGUAUUUGCCUAACCCCUGACAGAGAUUUUGGAUCCCUCUUUGUCUAUGUACUUGUAAAUCGCUGACAAAGCUUGAGCUUGAAUUGCAUGGUUAUGAAGAUGAUGGUUAUGACUCCGAGAUUAUUCUACCUGAUCAUGAAAUGAGUUUACCUCUGCUGAAAUCAUUGCGUCUGAUAUUUUGGGAUAUAUCAUUUGGUAAUAAUGAAGAACUAACGAAUAGGUUCUUUCGAGUUUUCCUUCUCUAGAAUCGUUGAUAAUGAAAGUACAGGAAGAUCCAUUUCCUGAAAUGAAUCUCAACAUUUCCUUGCCUAGACUUAAGCAUUUUGAAUUUGAUAGUUGGGAUUCUGAAAGCAGUGGAGAGGUUAAACUGCAUGCUCCAAGUCUGUCAUCCUUCAUUUUCAAUAAUUACAUGUCGACAAAUCUCACUUUAAUGAAUCUUUCAUCUCUAGCCACUGCUGAUAUUAAGAUACGCAUUAGUAGUCAAGUGACAGAAAUUUGGGCCCGACGUGUGAUGGGACUUUUAAGAGAGAUUCAUAACGUGGAAGUCUUGACCUUAGAUCAUAAUUUCCUCGAGGCUUUAGGUAGAGCUCCUGAUGAUAUACUGCACACUCAACCGACUGAAGAUUUUAAUAUUCAACAUUUGAAGCGCUCCAGACCUACCUGUCGAGGGACUGCCUGCGUUCAAUAUUCUUCGUACUAAACAAUUCUCCCAACGCAGAAUUCAUUUCCCUGCGGAUAUCAAAGGCCCCAGCGUGUCCAUUUUAUAACGAGGUGGAAUUUGAUCCGGAUAACAUAGGAGACGACUGGGAUGCAGGGUUGUCUUUGCCGUGUAGGAUAUGUCAUCUAAAGAUUGCCGAGAUUAAAGGUCUUCAUGGGAAUGCUAAUGAACUGAAAUUUUUGGAGCUUCUGUUGAAACAUGCCAUGGUCUUGGAGAAAGUGGUACUCACCAGUUCAACUAAACAAGACUCAGAAAGGGAGAAACGGAUGGCGAAAUUUAGUGAGAUGCUGUUAACAUUUCCUACAGCAUCUAAGAAAAUCUUUAUCUUGUUAAAAUUCUAAGUGCUUUUCAAUGGUCUGCGGAUUUGCACAAUCAUGGAAUCGGAUCUCUUCAAACCCGGAUGAGCUAAGAGAGCUGUUUUGCAAUUUCUUUGAGUGUAGAUGCGGAAAUCUCUUACAAGUUGCAAUGAUAUUUAUCAAAAUCCAGUACAUGAUUGGCAAGGUUGUCAUUUCCCUGUAUGCGCAAACUUAACUCUUAUAUAUAUAGAACUCACCCGCACAUACAGUGGCUAUUUAAUAAUGCCCGUCUGCAUAAAUUUCUUGUAUGAUCAGAGGGGUAACCGGUGAGGAAAUUUUGUACAGGAACCUCAUUCUUUCGUCCGACUCUAAUGAAUUCCAGAGUUAUAA